GUGUGACUUGGGAUGCAUUUCUAAAUAAAUCUUACUACUAUCUUAAAUUUAGAAAAACAAUAACAAGCCGGAAAGUUCCUGUUGCCUUAAGUUAAUGGUGUAUUCGGAUAGAGUUUCUUCAGGCCACAGCUUUCUGACCUUCACUGGCUCCACUGCACUCUUUGCCUCCAAAAGUGUCCUUUCUCUUGCCUCUCUAAGGGAUUUGCCUUUGUGUCUGCUUGUCAUUCAACAGUGAAUGCAAUGAAAGCUGAUUCGCUGAGAUGCACACAACCAGAAGGAGAAUCUAGAGACUUGCAGGUUUGCACUUGAACACUCCCUCAUACACCUUAUGAUGACUUGACAUGCUUACGGAGACAACGAAUGACAUCGAAAUGUUGAUUCCCCAGGACUCUCAGGAGUUGUUUGGACUGGUCCUGCCUCCCUCUCUACCUGCCUGAGGCCAAUCCUGUACUCUGGAAAGUAACACUUGGAACACGUUUGUUAUCCAUUAUGGACUACAACGAGGACUGCAACCAAGACGCACCUCUACUGUUCGUAGUUUGGAAAGAGUCGAUGUGCUGUCCAGAAGCAACUGCCCACUCUUUUGUUUUUGUUCUGCACGGGCAGCUCAAGCCUUCUUUUCAUAUCCUACGGAUGUGAAAUGAUCUCUUUAUCUGCCUGAGAUUUGGGUUCCACCUGCAAUGCAUAGAGCUGUCCAUCACCAGACAAGCAUAUCUUCCUCUGAACUGCUGAGCCAUAAAAAAUUCAAACAAAGAUACAGCGGAAAUAAAAGAUUUGGUCAAAGCCAUAAUUUCCAAAUGAAAGACACUUGGCAUUCAGCACAGAAUCUCUUCGAGUGUGUGGCCAUGGGGUAAUUAAGGUGAUGUUUUGCAGCUUGGUGGCAGCUGUGGCGUGACACAUAAGCUCCCUUUCGCAGCCCAUCAAUGAUUGGCGCCAGUCCUUGGCUUUGACCUUGCUUUCGCUCUGCCCACGCAGCCGAUGAGCAGGAGAUGUCUGAUGAUCAAUCUCCGCGGCAUUUGCACUUGCAAAAAAAUGCAGGAUAGUAGACGGACAUGAUUCACAAGCACGGAUGCACUGUUCCACUUGUAAACAUGAAAACGAACAUGCACGCGUUAUCGUAUUGCGUGCUCGGAUACAUAUUUGUAUUUAAUUAGUAACACGGGCUGCAGAUCAUUAGAAAGUAUUGAUGAGUCAAGAGAUGAAAAGAUUUUAAAAGGGCAGGUGCUCAUAAAAGCACCAGCAUACACUUUA